AAGAGUUUGAUCCUGGCUCAGAACGAACGCUGGCGGCAGGCCUAACAUAUGCAAGUCGAGCGGGGGGGGUAACCCCUAGGCGGCGGACGGGUGAGUAACGCGUGGGAACGUGCCCUUUGCUUCGGAAUAGCCCCUGGAAACGGGGAGUAAUACCGGAUGUGCCCUACGGGGGAAAGAAUUUCGGCAAAGGAUCGGCCCGCGUUGGAUUAGGUAGUUGGUGGGGUAAUGGCCUACCAAGCCGACGAUCCAUAGCUGGUUUGAGAGGAUGAUCAGCCACACUGGGACUGAGACACGGCCCAGACUCCUACGGGAGGCAGCAGUGGGGAAUCUUAGACAAUGGGCGCAAGCCUGAUCUAGCCAUGCCGCGUGAGCGAUGAAGGCCUUAGGGUUGUAAAGCUCUUUCGUGGGGGAAGAUAAUGACGGUACCCCAAGAAGAAGCCCCGGCUAACUCCGUG
rnacentral:rRNA from 1 species